rnacentral:rRNA from 1 species
UGGGGAAUCUUGCACAAUGGGGGAAACCCUGAUGCAGCGACGCCGCGUGAACGAUGAAGCCCUUCGGGGUGUAAACUUCUUUCGACAGGGACGAUAAUGACGGUACCUGGAGAAGAAGCUGCGGCUAGCUACGUGCCAGCAGCCGCGUUAAUACGGAGGUGGCAAGCGUUUGCCGGCGUUACUGGUCGUAAGGGAUGCGUAGGCGGCUACUUAAGUCAGAUGUGAAAAUCCCGGGCUUAACUUGGGAACUGCAUUUGAAACUGGGUAUCUAGCGUGCGGGAGAGGCAAGUGGAAUUCCUAGUGUAGCGGUGAAAUGCGUAGAGAUUAGGAAGAACACCAGUGGCGAAGGCGACUUUCUGGACUGUAACUGACGCUGAGGCUCGAAAGCGUGGGGAGCAAACA